GCUAGCGCACGAGCAACAACUGGCAGGCGCGCGGGCAGCGCGAGGCGAGGCGGGGGGGGUGGCGCCCCGUCCCCGAAACAGCGGGAGCUUGCUACAGUUCGGUUAAGCACAGGGCCCAGUCCCCCUUUACUCUGCCCACGGCUGCUGGGGGGCAAGUGCUGCCCUUCCUUCAAAGAGUAGAAUGACAUUGACUGGAAAGCUGCAUAACAGUAUACUACCACCUGAAGAGAUGGAUGUAGCUCGAAAGCUUCUCUCUCACCCACAGACGUUGGUCCAGUAAAACCUAUUACUGUACCCACCUUGUCUCUGUAAUACCCUGGGACCAACACUGCAUACUGUAACUACCUCUCUCCGACUUGGCUCAGCAGUGGGAUUCUGAGGGCGCAGAGACUGUUUUAGCUCACGGAUGUAUUUAUUCCCUGAGGUUUAAAACAUCACUGUCAUGCUAAUAUUAUGCAAGCAGCUGCCCAUUCAGCAUCACCAUGCAAUGCAGCUUGUGUAUUCAAAUCAUACAUACGUAAAUGUACAAGUGUAGAAUUCAAGAAAACAAGGUUUACGCAACCCAUGAUCAUAUUGAGAGGUUGAGUGGCUUCGAUCUAAUAGAGUUUGGUAUUCAACAUGGAAAUGAAUUAUUUUAGUAACGAUAAAGGUUGUUAGAAAACUGGGCCUUUUCGUAUAAUGUAGCUGUAACGUAAGAGUUUUUAUAACAUUUCAUAACAUCAUGGUGAUACUUCAUGCUUCAACCUGUUUCACUGGAUACAACUUCAAAUGGAGAAAAUGUGUUCUAGUCUAAAUCAGUCUGCCAUCUGUGAGCGUUACAGAAAUAAAUUUGCUUUCUAAAAUCGAGAAAA